CCUACGGGUGGCAGCAGUGGGGAAUAUUGGGCAAUGGACGCAAGUCUGACCCAGCAACGCCGCGUGAAGGAAGAAGGCUUUCGGGUUGUAAACUUCUUUUGUCGGGGAGUAAAAGCCGGACGUGUCCGGCUGUGAGAGUACCCGAAGAAAAAGCAUCGGCUAACUCCGUGCCAGCAGCCGCGGUAAUACGGAGGAUGCGAGCGUUAUCCGGAUUUAUUGGGUUUAAAGGGUGCGCAGGCGGAUUUUUAAGUCAGCGGUCAAAUCGUGGGGCUCAACCCCAUCCAGCCGUUGAAACUGGGGAUCUAGAGUGUGCGAGAGGUAUGCGGGAGGCGUGGUGUAGCGGUGAAAUGCAUAGAUAUCACGCAGAACCCCGAUUGCGAAGGCAGCAUACCGGUGCACAACUGACGCGCAGGCACGAAAGCGUGGGUAUCGAACAGGAUUAGAUACCCGGGUAGUC
rnacentral:rRNA from 1 species